rnacentral:rRNA from 1 species
GAGCGGAAGGGAAAAGGAGGACCUAGGGAAGCACCCGUGCAUAGAGGGGCCGCCGCUUUGUCGGCUGUUGUUCUUCUGAAACGACAGGAGACCUCGGUUCUCCCGCAAGCCCAAGGGACGCCUGGAGCUAACGCUACGCGAGUACGCCCCGGACCGCGAUCUUCGUCUGGAACGACCACGCGGUCUAGACAGGGCGGACUGGGAGGCUCCGCAGGCGGGCAAGAGGUGAACAUAGGUACGGCAGCUGUUCUUGGACUAAUAGUACUAUUGAAGGAAAGGAGUUCAAAUGGGGGCCCCAUAGAUAGAGUAGAUGUUGCGUUAACUGUCUAGCGAGGAGUACUAGGGCAGACGCGGGUCGUGUGGGGGAAGGCAGGAAUGCAGGGCACAAGAACACCGCGCGGCGGCCCUGCUGCUGUAGUCGAGGAUGCGGGACCAGAAAGGGCCCUGGCAGAUGCUGUAUCCGACAGGACCUGCCGUCGGACAAGAGAAGCACAGCCCUAGGAGUAGAUUCAGAGUCACCCUCUAACGCUUCAAGUGAUUAAAGGGGCUGGUAGACGAGCGACUCUUUUCGAGAAAGGAACGGCUUCUACACAAGAGGGUGGCACCGGCACCAAUGACCCACCUAGAGAACGAACCACCGUACAUGACACUGACGCCACUACACAAGAGGUCGGUCGCAAUGUACCUGCGGGUGAGGAAUCUGGAGGGACACCCCACGCUCUCUAUGAAUCCGACAUCUCUAAUGUAUGGUCUCGGCUCCCGGAAAGCUCGACACCCGACACAACCCCUGAGGUAGUUCAAACAGAGGUAGUGGCCGAAGGAACUCGCACACCUAGAACACCUACUGGCGUACCACUCCCAGACCUCUGAGUUCCUUCUAUACUCAACCCUACAUCUGAUGCUCGAGUUCGACCCCUCGGACGCACUUCUCCCCCGAAAGUUUCCCUUGGUGGACGGCUGGAGGUACCGUGGGUACAUGGGGAAGGAGUUGUAUGUCCUUCUGGCACAGUAUAUGAAACGUGACCCACUCAUGUAGAUGGUCCUGGGCCUCAAGACGAAAGGUAGGUGCGGUUCGAAAACCCAGGCACAACUAUACUCGUCGUUCUGAAAGUUGACGUGUGGAGAGAGAGACUGCCUACGGUCGUAACCGACAGAAGAACGAGAGAGGCCGUUACGACUCCCGUUCGAACGAACCUGAAGGGUCGGUUCGGUUGAAGACUUCGGUACAGGACAAUCAAUCCCUCCCCGUUAUACCUUCGUGGUCUAGUUCAUAGUCCUUAGUACUUCAAACCAAUAGAAAAAUAAAACGGAUAAAAAUAAUUGUUCUACAAAUAGACCGAGUUCAGUUAGGGAACAAAUAAACGAAAACAACCUCACUCUUUGACAACACAAACCGACGUUGAACAGGGUACUCUAAUGACAAACUACUGUAAGAACACUCUAGGAAUAAGAGCACGAACAUAAUAGUACCUAUAUCAAAGAUAGGAAUAUGGUAAAACAAACGUUUCAUGACGUCAUAACAAUCAUUUAUAGUAGUAGAAUAUAGUACAUGGAACCUGUGAGUCCGUAUCGGGUAGGAAGGUUUUCGUUAUGUGUCGUGUAAGUCUUAUAGAGGUAGGUCCUACAAAUAUAGAAGGUUCCUGGUAUGUAGAUUAGAGUUAAGAACUAAGCAAACGUUACCACCGGCAUCCUAGAAAAGCGAACUGCCGAUCGUAGCUUCGCUACCGUGGUACUCACUAAAACAGGGCGACUUCCCCGUAGAGGCAGAAAAAGAUCGGUCGGAUAUAUAAGUGUGUAACUGUUUGUCCAAUUGGAAAAAGGGAUACACCACUUUUGGGAUCGGCGGUGUAGGGAGCGAACUCGGGGUAGGAGAAGGACGGACGGCGGCAGCUCCAGGUGGAGCCGGCGUAGGUACGAGUUACUACGGAGGAGUUACACAGCGACGGAGGCCUGCACUGCGGCCAGAGGAGACGCCGGGGAAUGACGGUGGUAGGAGGAGAAGCGGAGAUCGACGGGUCUACGGACUGCCGACGCCAUCGCACGGAUAGUAAGUACCCGCCGAUCUGCAGGUCCAAGUAGAGAGAGAGAGAGAGAGUCGUUUGGUACUUCCUAAACCCUGACGAACCCGCACCUUGUUUUUUGGGUCACAAAACAAAACCACAAGUCGAUUUCCCCCUUCUAGACCUAAAUGUAACAAAAUAGUACCAUACCGCAAGAAAUAAAAGCGUCCUUCACGAGGUCGCCUUUGUGUAGAGUUUAAGGUCCAAGGACGUUUAACCUAAAUUCUCUACAGAUGCAGAUCGACCCGAGGUUCUUUCCUCUAAGAAACAACAGGAAAAUCUACAGUGAGUUUUACAGUGCCAAUAAAGAUUACGAGUGAUAAAAGGACCGAAAGUACCCCAGACUACAUUUAGUCAUUUACCGAUAUACUGUUCUAGGCAAACGGCUUCUUACACAAUAAACUAAGAUGAAACGUGACCCACUCAUGUAUAUGGCCUGGGCCUCAAGACGAAAGGUAGGUUCUCGUUGAAAGUUGACGUGUGGAGAGAGAGACUGCCUGCGGUCGUAACCGACAGGAGAACGAGAGAGGCCGUUACGAGUCCCGUUCGAACGAACCUGAAGGGUCGGUUCGGUUGAAGACUUCGGUACAGGAUAAUCAAUCCCUCCCCGUUAUACCUUGAUGGUCCGGUUCAUAGUCCCUAGUACUUCAAACUGAUAGCAAAAUGAAACGGAUAAAAGACAAUUGUUCCACAAAGAGACCGAGUUCAGUUAGGGAACAAAUAAACGAUGACACCCUCACUCUUUAACAACACAAACUGACGUUGAACAGGGUACUCUAACGACAAACUCUAGGAAUAAGAGUACGAACAUAAUAAUACCUAUGUCAAAAUUAAAACAGACGUUUCAUGACAUCAUUCAUAGUAAUAGAAUACAGUACAUGAGGGAGACAAGUGAAAACAUUCAGCAAAAUCUGUUGAGUUUUACCUAACGAAACGUGUAACAGAAAUUACAGAGGUUCC